GGAUUGUGGCUCAGUGGUACAGUGCUCGCCUAGCACGUGCAAGGUCCUGGGUUCGACCCUCAGCACCA
rnacentral:tRNA from 1 species